AUGUCUGGAAGCACGGGAGAACGUUCUUUUGCUGAUAUUAUUACCAGUAUUCGAUACUGGGUUAUUCAUAGCAUUACUAUACCUUCCCUAUUCAUGCCAUCCUAA
rnacentral:rRNA from 1 species